rnacentral:rRNA from 1 species
AGAGUUUGAUCCUGGCUCAGGAUGAACGCUGGCGGCGUGCCUAAUACAUGCAAGUCGAGCGAACAGAUAAGGAGCUUACUCCUUUGACGUUAGCGGCGGACGGGUGAGUAACACGUGGGUAACCUACCUAUAAGACUGGGAUAACUUCGGGAAACCGGAGCUAAUACCGGAUAACAUUUGGAACCGCAUGGUUCUAAAGUGAAAGAUGGUUUUGCUAUCACUUAUAGAUGGACCCGCGCCGUAUUAGCUAGUUGGUAAGGUAACGGCUUACCAAGGCAACGAUACGUAGCCGACCUGAGAGGGUGAUCGGCCACACUGGAACUGAGACACGGUCCAGACUCCUACGGGAGGCAGCAGUAGGGAAUCUUCCGCAAUGGGCGAAAGCCUGACGGAGCAACGCCGCGUGAGUGAUGAAGGGUUUCGGCUCGUAAAACUCUGUUAUUAGGGAAGAACAAAUGUGUAAGUAACUGUGCACGUCUUGACGGUACCUAAUCAGAAAGCCACGGCUAACUACGUGCCAGCAGCCGCGGUAAUACGUAGGUGGCAAGCGUUAUCCGGAAUUAUUGGGCGUAAAGCGCGCGUAGGCGGUUUCUUAAGUCUGAUGUGAAAGCCCACGGCUCAACCGUGGAGGAUCAUUGGAAACUGGGAAACUUGAGUGCAGAAGAGGAAAGUGGAAUUCCAUGUGUAGCGGUGAAAUGCGCAGAGAUAUGGAGGAACACCAGUGGCGAAGGCGACUUUCUGGUCUGUAACUGACGCUGAUGUGCGAAAGCGUGGGGAUCAAACAGGAUUAGAUACCCUGGUAGUCC